GCCAAACCCAACACUGAUCAAAUAAGGAAAUUUGUUUUAUAUAGGCUUUUGCAACAAGAGAAAAAUGUAAGAUCCAAAUAACAAAGAAUCUGAGCAGGGUAGUUUUGCUUUAUACUUUCAUAGAGAGGAUUAGAUUAUAACCGGAUAACUUAUAUUUUGGACUUCUUUGUGAUUUUUUUUUUGUCUCAGUCAAUCAGCUAGAUAGAAAGCAUUUAUCUGUGCACCUAGCUAGUUUCACAGGGAUAAAUAGUUCACCUAAUAUUUCACAUCAUGAGCUAAAAAAUGGAGUUGAUUCUCUGUAUCGGGCUUGUCAGUAUGUUCAGGUAAAAAUGAAAUGUAUUUGUGUGGCCAGGUCACAAAUAAGUCAUCCUUGCAUCUUAUAGAGGUCAUGAGGAGGAAUGGACAGCUAGUCUUACUGAAACCACAUGGGGCAGGUUGCUUUUGGUUGUCAUCCAUUUCCUAGAACACAGAUGGAGAAAUUUGCAGUUUUCCAGGACCUUCUAUCAUAGCCACUUGAAGUAUGACCAAGAAGAAAGUUCUACAUUUCAGCUCCCUUCAGAUUAAAGUCAUCCCUGUUCCCUCGUCCAGUGACAAACACUCAACAAUGAAGCCGAUAUAGCCAUUAUUGUACUUGUAAUGAAGCUGUGUUUCAAUACAGGGGAUACUCAGGUUCAAAAGGAGAUGUCAGAAGAACAAGAUGAUGGAGCAGUGGCAGGCAUGACCAGAGGCUGUGAUUAUGUCAACAACAAAAGCAAACUUGAAGAAGAAGAACAAAGCUUAGCAGUUAAAGAUGUCUCAGUACACGAGCAAGAGAAAUGCCUGGCAGGUGGGGAGCAGAGGGCAUGAGGUCCACAGUGGAAAUGAGAAAGAAAGGUGAGGAUAUCACCCUGAGGACCAGGAUAUGCUUCUUUCAGCAGGGGAAACGCACUGAGAAGCCAAGGGUCCUAAGGUGGGACGUGUGUGUGUGUGUGUGUGUGUGUGUGUGUGUGUGUAUUUAUAUAUAUGACCUCUUUGAAUAGUUUUCUCUUUCUGUUAUUCCUACGAAACCAUUGAGGUCAAGAAGUGUUUACAAGUUACACAGGAAUAGUAGCUGGAGCUGAGAGCUUAUGUCCAUAAAGUAAAGUAAUGAUUUCUACUCCAGUAAGCCAAGCACUUAUAUAAAAGCACCUUCAGGGGAUAUUUGUGUGUGUGUUUGUGUAUGUAUAUGUAUAUAUGUGUGUAUGUAUAAGUGGAUAUAUAUACAUGUAUAUAUACAUAUACACACACACACAUCCCUAUAUUAAGCUAUAUACUGAAGAACCAGCAGGAAUUGAUACUGUACUAUCUGGAACACUAAAAGAAUAAAAGACACAGCUAUUUGUGAGCA
rnacentral:lncRNA from 1 species